CGGGAAGUUUCUGUCAGUACUUGUAAAGGAUCUAAUCCUUCUGCAUCUAGUGUAACUUCUUAACAGAAAUAAAAGCUUGUAAAUCAGCAACAAUAUUUUGGCAUUUUACUGGAACAGAAAAUGUUUGGAAGACUUCUUAUUUCGUUGUUUCUUUGUACUAUGAUUUCCACGGUGCUUGUCAGCGGCUACGUGAUCUACCAUCAAGUGCCAUCUUACGUCAUUUCCGCUCCACGUUACGCCUACCGCACAAUCACAUAUCACAGAGCACCUAUUGUUUACUAUGGUGACGGAUAUGACAGCCCAGAUUACAACACGAACUCGUGAAACUAUGACUAUAUGUCAAAGCCAGUAGAAGCACAGACCCACGGAUAGAUAGAAAUGUCAACACAUUUGUCUCAUUCUCCACCAUCUGAAUCAUGAUUUAGCAGCAUUAGAGAUGUCAUGUUCAUUCUACACAUCACGUUAAAGUUUUAUACUCACUCAAAACAUCACUUGAUUUAUGAGAAGUCUUAAAAUAGUAUUUUCAUUAAUUUCUUUAUACAGAUAUUUUACAGCUUACUAUUUAUAUAGUAAAGAGACUUAAAUAUUAAAAUUUUACUUAUCUCAAAUCAAUAGAAAUCAAUCUAUGAAAAUUUUUCUUAACUGGAGCAUUGUAAAUGUUGUAGUGAACCGGUAAUGACACUCGUCAAUUUCUGUGUGAUUGACACUCGGCACUUUCCGUGUGACUGACACACGGCAAUUUCCGUGUGAUUGACACUCGGCAAUUUCCACUCGGCAAUUUCCGUGUGACUGACACUCGGCAAUUUCCGUGUGAUUGACACUCGGCAAUUUCCGUGUGACUGACACUCGGCAAUUUCCACUCGGCAAUUUCCGUGUGAUUGACACUCGGCAAUUUCCGUCUGAUUACGAUUUCUCGGCAAUUUGGCUUUUUUUUUCGGGCGUAAAAUAGCUAGCGCGAUUUAUGGAUUCGCCUGUACUAUUCUGUCGUUCAUUUCGCAUGAACACCGAAAAAAAAAUUCAUAAGUGAUUAUACAGACUUAUGUUAUAAUUAUGUUAAAUAUUUAGGAUAUGGUAUUUUUGCAUAAUUAAAAACGCGGAAAAUGCCGAAGUCGCGUACGCAGAAUACUUAGUACGUAAUUUGCCGAAUGUCAGUAGUGGUUUACUACCUAAGGUAAAUAGUUAUACAUGUAUUAUCAUUGAUAAUUUUUCUAGACAUAACAUACU
rnacentral:lncRNA from 1 species